UGACUGUUUUGCCCUCAUUUGCCUAUGCGUCCCUCAUUGCUCCGCCUUCUUCGUUCGCUUUUCUGCUUUUUGUUUCUCUGUGCACAGCGUUGCCCACGCGUCCUCAUCCGUGUGCCUUUUCGUUGGAUUUUCUUCCUGCUAUACACGUGUUGCUCAUCCAAGAACGGAAGAAAGAUGGAAAAUCAGGGAUCUUCCAUUUGCUUCCACGGAUUUCUCGAUCUCUCUCGAGCUCAGGUCCGUUGCCUUCGGGAAGAAAGUUUAAACCUAGAAAAGCAUGGUUUUCAGGAAAUCGUCAAUCCUGCAGAAACCUUGGGUUUCCUGAUUUCAUCGGCUAUUUCAUCAAUUUUUCGAUUCGAUCAGGAUCGGUUUUUUACCCACGAAAUCUAGCAUGUUCUGAUCCAGCUUGGGUGUAUGAUCAGGAGACCUUGCUGUUUGUUUUUGGGCUUUGGUGUAUAUACUUCGAAGCCCUUUGUGCACAAGGUGGUAAUCGAAGAAGUUUGUCAAGGGCCAAUGGGACAAGGAGGAUUGGAUUUCAGAUUGGCAGAAAUACAAGGCCUCCCUCUCUGUUGCAGAAGAUGGGGGCUUUGGAUUUAAAGAAGGUGGUGACAGGCACCAGGGGUGGCUUCUCAUCAUUUGCAAUUGGUUACAUGGGGUGUUUUCUAUUUAUUGGCUAAUAUGUUGAGCCUUUUAGUCAUCGGAUACUGGUUGGAGAAAGAGUUCAACUUUGCGGUUAAAGAGGGGUGCGAGGAAACUUUAGAAAAUAUUAAGGAAGGUUCUGAUGAAUUCUCAUUUAGAGUUGGUGACAACCAAUCGACUCAUCACCAACUUUAGAUCAAGAUUCAAGCAUGCCUUAAAUGUAAAGCUUGCAUUAAGAUUCAGCUCUCCGAUCCGAAAGACCUUAAGAUUGAUGGCUGAAUUAUUAAUUUGAGCGACAUCCCACUAGGAAAUGCAGAGGGCAUACUAGAAAUUGCAGAUAAAGAGGAGUAUAUUCUGCGGCGUCGAGUACAUGCCAUGUCUGAGCUAUCCCGAAGUAAAUGCCAUCCAAUAUCUGUAUGUAUGUAUUUAGACCAAUUAUUAUAUAUAUGCUAUAUAAAUACAUAUAGGGUUUCUCAUUUUACUAUCAUGAAGUAUUGUGGUUUUUAAAAUUUCAUACAUCAAGUUUUUUUUCCUCCCAGUGUCAAUACCUAAAGUGAGAUUUGUAGGACACUUUCAUACUUUUGUUAGGUUUUUCAUUAGAACCUCCAUUAACUCGUGACAUGGCGCCCACGUGGGGUCAUAUUGACAUGUGACGCCCAUUCAUUAUCCACAUGAGCACCAAGUCACACGUUAACUUAGGUUCUGACGAAAAACCUAAUAAAAGUAUUAAAGUGUACGACAAUCCUCACUUUAGGUAUGACAUCGAGAUGAAAAAAUCUUGAUGUAUGGAAGUUUGAAAACCAUGAUACUUUAGGGUAGUAAAAUGAGAAUUACCCACAUAUAUAUAGGAAAGUGCUAUUCACACACCUAUUUUUUUAUCUCAAAUGCACCUUUGUUAAUUUUUUGUCAUUGAUCUUCUUCAGUUCAUUCGAUUUAACCGUAGAAAAUUGAGGGAGGUGUAGAAAUAAAAAUGGAUGUGUUGAUAACACUACCCUAUAUAUAUAGGAAGCCUUUAAGGGAAGAUCCCUAUUUUU